UUAAGCGACUAAGCGUACACGGUGGAUGCCCUGGCAGUCAGAGGCGAUGAAGGACGUGCUAAUCUGCGAAAAGCGUCGGUAAGGUGAUAUGAACCGUUAUAACCGGCGAUGUCCGAAUGGGGAAACCCAGUGCAAUUCGUUGCACUAUCGUUAACUGAAUACAUAGGUUAACGAGGCGAACCGGGGGAACUGAAACAUCUAAGUACCCCGAGGAAAAGAAAUCAACCGAGAUUCCCCCAGUAGCGGCGAGCGAACGGGGAGCAGCCCAGAGUCUGAAUCAGCUUGUGUGUUAGUGGAACGGUCUGGAAAGUCCGACGGUACAGGGUGAUAGUCCCGUACACCAAAAUGCACAGGUUGUGAACUCGAAGAGUAGGGCGGGACACGUGGUAUCCUGUCUGAAUAUGGGGGGACCAUCCUCCAAGGCUAAAUACUCCUGACUGACCGAUAGUGAACCAGUACCGUGAGGGAAAGGCGAAAAGAACCCCGGCGAGGGGAGUGAAAAAGAACCUGAAACCGUGUACGUACAAGCAGUGGGAGCACCUUCGGGUGUGACUGCGUACCUUUUGUAUAAUGGGUCAGCGACUUAUAUUCUGUAGCAAGGUUAACCGUAUAGGGGAGCCGCAGGGAAACCGAGUCUUAACUGGGCGUUAAGUUGCAGGGUAUAGACCCGAAACCCGGUGAUCUAGCCAUGGGCAGGUUGAAGGUUGGGUAACACUAACUGGAGGACCGAACCGACUAAUGUUGAAAAAUUAGCGGAUGACUUGUGGCUGGGGGUGAAAGGCCAAUCAAACCGGGAGAUAGCUGGUUCUCCCCGAAAGCUAUUUAGGUAGCGCCUCGUGAACUCAUCUUCGGGGGUAGAGCACUGUUUCGGCUAGGGGGUCAUCCCGACUUACCAACCCGAUGCAAACUACGAAUACCGAAGAAUGUUAUCACGGGAGACACACGGCGGGUGCUAACGUCCGUCGUGAAGAGGGAAACAACCCAGACCGCCAGCUAAGGUCCCAAAGUCAUGGUUAAGUGGGAAACGAUGUGGGAAGGCACAGACAGCCAGGAUGUUGGCUUAGAAGCAGCCAUCAUUUAAAGAAAGCGUAAUAGCUCACUGGUCGAGUCGGCCUGCGCGGAAGAUGUAACGGGGCUAAACCAUGCACCGAAGCUGCGGCAGCGACACUAUGUGUUGUUGGGUAGGGGAGCGUUCUGUAAGCCUGCGAAGGUGUGCUGUGAGGCAUGCUGGAGGUAUCAGAAGUGCGAAUGCUGACAUAAGUAACGAUAAAGCGGGUGAAAAGCCCGCUCGCCGGAAGACCAAGGGUUCCUGUCCAACGUUAAUCGGGGCAGGGUGAGUCGACCCCUAAGGCGAGGCCGAAAGGCGUAGUCGAUGGGAAACAGGUUAAUAUUCCUGUACUUGGUGUUACUGCGAAGGGGGGACGGAGAAGGCUAUGUUAGCCGGGCGACGGUUGUCCCGGUUUAAGCAUGUAGGCUGAUUGUCCAGGCAAAUCCGGAUAAUCAAGGCUGAGGUGUGAUGACGAGGCACUACGGUGCUGAAGUAACAAAUGCCCUGCUUCCAGGAAAAGCCUCUAAGCAUCAGGUAACAUUAAAUCGUACCCCAAACCGACACAGGUGGUCAGGUAGAGAAUACCAAGGCGCUUGAGAGAACUCGGGUGAAGGAACUAGGCAAAAUGGUGCCGUAACUUCGGGAGAAGGCACGCUGGUGUGUAGGUGAAGUCCCUGCGGAUGGAGCUGAGACCAGUCGAAGAUACCAGCUGGCUGCAACUGUUUAUUAAAAACACAGCACUGUGCAAACACGAAAGUGGACGUAUACGGUGUGACGCCUGCCCGGUGCCGGAAGGUUAAUUGAUGGGGUUAUCCGUAAGGAGAAGCUCUUGAUCGAAGCCCCGGUAAACGGCGGCCGUAACUAUAACGGUCCUAAGGUAGCGAAAUUCCUUGUCGGGUAAGUUCCGACCUGCACGAAUGGCGUAAUGAUGGCCAGGCUGUCUCCACCCGAGACUCAGUGAAAUUGAACUCGCUGUGAAGAUGCAGUGUACCCGCGGCAAGACGGAAAGACCCCGUGAACCUUUACUAUAGCUUGACACUGAACAUUGAGCCUUGAUGUGUAGGAUAGGUGGGAGGCUUUGAAGCGUGGACGCCAGUCUGCGUGGAGCCAACCUUGAAAUACCACCCUUUAAUGUUUGAUGUUCUAACGUUGGCCCCUGACCGGGGUUGCGGACAGUGUCUGGUGGGUAGUUUGACUGGGGCGGUCUCCUCCCAAAGCGUAACGGAGGAGCACGAAGGUUAGCUAAUCCUGGUCGGACAUCAGGAGGUUAGUGCAAUGGCAUAAGCUAGCUUGACUGCGAGCGUGACGGCGCGAGCAGGUGCGAAAGCAGGUCAUAGUGAUCCGGUGGUUCUGAAUGGAAGGGCCAUCGCUCAACGGAUAAAAGGUACUCCGGGGAUAACAGGCUGAUACCGCCCAAGAGUUCAUAUCGACGGCGGUGUUUGGCACCUCGAUGUCGGCUCAUCACAUCCUGGGGCUGAAGUAGGUCCCAAGGGUAUGGCUGUUCGCCAUUUAAAGUGGUACGCGAGCUGGGUUUAGAACGUCGUGAGACAGUUCGGUCCCUAUCUGCCGUGGGCGCUGGAGAAUUGAGGGGGGCUGCUCCUAGUACGAGAGGACCGGAGUGGACGCAUCACUGGUGUUCGGGUUGUCAUGCCAAUGGCACUGCCCGGUAGCUAAAUGCGGAAGAGAUAAGUGCUGAAAGCAUCUAAGCACGAAACUUGCCCCGAGAUGAGUUCUCCCUGAGACUUUAAGUCUCCUGAAGGAACGUUGAAGACGACGACGUUGAUAGGCCGGGUGUGUAAGCGCAGCGAUGCGUUGAGCUAACCGGUACUAAUGAACCGUGAGGCUUAACCUU
rnacentral:rRNA from 56 species